GACGAACGCUGGCGGCGUGCUUAACACAUGCAAGUCGAACGGUAAGGCCCUUCGGGGUACACGAGUGGCGAACGGGUGAGUAACACGUGGGUGAUCUGCCCUGCACUUCGGGAUAAGCCUGGGAAACUGGGUCUAAUACCGGAUAGGACUCCUGGCUUCAUGGUUGGGGGUGGAAGGCUUUUGCGGUGUGGGAUGGGCCCGCGGCCUAUCAGCUUGUUGGUGGGGUAAUGGCCUACCAAGGCGACGACGGGUAGCCGGCCUGAGAGGGUGACCGGUCACACUGGGACUGAGAUACGGCCCAGACUCCUACGGGAGGCAGCAGUGGGGAAUAUUGCACAAUGGGCGCAAGCCUGAUGCAGCGACGCCGCGUGAGGGAUGACGGCCUUCGUGUUGUAAACCUCUUUCAGCUAUGACGAAGCGCAAGUGACGGUAGUAGCAGAAGAAGGACCGGCCAACUACGUGCCAGCAGCCGCAGUAA
rnacentral:rRNA from 1 species